rnacentral:rRNA from 1 species
UACGUAGGGGGCAAGCGUUGUCCGGAUUUAUUGGGCGUAAAGAGCGUGUAGGCGGCCAUGUAGGUCCGUUGUGAAAACUCGAGGCUCAACCUCGAGACGCCGAUGGAAACCAUGUGGCUAGAGUCCGGAAGAGGAGAGUGGAAUUCCUGGUGUAGCGGUGAAAUGCGUAGAUAUCAGGAGGAACACCUGUGGCGAAAGCGGCUCACUGGACCACAACUGACGCUGAUGCACGAAAGCUAGGGGAGCAAACAGG